ensembl:lncRNA
AUGGUGAAAACUCUGCAUACAUACCAUUUAAUGUUGUUCUUUUUCUUUCUCUUCCUCAUCAGAACCAACAUCUUCAAUUUCAGGUUUGUCUUCAGACUCUUUCUCUUCUUUUUCUUUUUCUUCUUCUCUGUCUUCCUUUUCUUCAGCCUCAUCAUCAUUGACUUCUUUAUCACGUUCCUUCUCCACAAAAAGAAUAAUGAAAUAGCCAAUAAACUGAGAAUGUUUCUUCACAAUCUCCUUUAUUCUUCGUUCCUCCAAGUACUCAGUUUGGUCUUCUUUCAGGUGUAGGAUAACCUUUGUUCCACGACCCAUAGGUUCACCUGUGUCUGUCCUCACUGUGAAUGAUCCCCCUGCUGAAGACUCCCAGGCAUACUGCUCAUCAUCAUUAUGUUUGGUGAUCACAGUUGCUUUCUCAACAACCAAAUAAGCAGAAUAAAAACCAACACUGAAAUGGCCAAUCAUAGAGACACCUGCACCAGCCUGCAAAGCUUCCAUGAACGCUUUGGUCCCAGACUUGGUGAUAUACCAAGGUUAUUGAUCAAGUCAGCCUUGGUCAUUCCAAUUCCAGUAUCCACAAUAGGGAGGGUUCGAUCUUGUUUGUUUGGUAUAAGGUUAAUAUGCAGCUCUUUCCCAGAGUCUAAUUUACUGGGAUCCGUCAAGCUUUCAUACUGAAUUUUGUCCAAUGCAUCUGAUGAAUUUGAAAUGAGCUCUCUCAGAAAGAUCUCUUUGUUCGAGUAGAAAGUAUUGAUGAUCAAUGACAUCAACUGGGCAAUUCUGCCUGAAAGGUGAAUAUCUCAACCUCCUCCACCUCCAUGGGUUGGUCUUGGGUCUAGGUUUCCUCAGGCAUCUUGGCUAAGAAACCGCACAGGUUCCACAGCACAGCAGCACCAGGAUGCUAAAGCAACUCUACUUGCUAUAUGGUUUUAGGCAAAAUAAUCUGUCUAUGUCUCCCUUUUCUCAACUGAAAAAUGGCAACGAUAAUAGAUUAUCUUUUCAGGCCAUUAUUAUGUGAGAACAUGUGAGAUAAUGCAAGUAGGAUGCUUGCAAUUGCAUGAUAUAAAUACAAACAUUAUGCUGAACUCUACCAGAGGAAAUAGAAUGCACAGUCUUUUAUUCUCUGGUCCAAGAUUGGGAGAGAGACUGGGCCAGGUAACAUUCAGGUUCCCUUCGAACUUUUAGACCCUAACUACACUUUUCUAUCCCUCUACCCUAUUUAUUGCCAGCCAAAGGCCUCAUGGAAGAGUCCUGUAGCCCAGCCAAGUACUUCACUCAACACUGAUUUUGAUCAUAGCAAAAGGAAUUUGGAAAAUAACAUCAAAGUGCUAGGUACAAAAAUUGAUUUUUAAAAAUAGGUUCACUAAAGCCACUUCAGAGAAUUUGCUGACAUAGUUCAGAUAUUUAGGGAUUUUUCUGCCUCUUCUUUUAAACUGAUCAAACAUUUAUCACAGUGUCCAAAAAGGCCUAGAUUCCAGGAAGUCUGUACUGAGGCAAAAAAAAAAAAAGGUUUCAACCAGACAGCAUGCUGUCACAUCUUGAUGUCAGAGAUCAAACUUCUCUCAGGGUGUGAGGAGGGGACAAGUCUUAACAGGCAGUUUUAACUGUAGGAUGAGAAUAAGAAAGGUGGCAUUAUUUUCCAAGUCCCAUUGAUAUUGGGUGAAAAUGACAGAAAAACCAAAGUGUUUCGCUAUCCCCCACAUAACUCAAUGCUAACAUGGCUCUAAUUGAAUUAAGGAUAAGUUCCUGUUUAAGGUGAUACACAUUUUUGGUUUAUUUUAACUAAUUUUUUAAAAUAAAAUUAAAAAUAAUUUUAAACAUAAUUUUUUAAAAUAAUUAUCGCAAUGGAGGGGUGGGGGUGGCCGCUCUUACAAAAUAUUGAUGAGAAUGUGAGAUACAUCCUUUUGGAAGGCAGUAUGAUAAAAUACAUGCAUCCACUCCCACAAUGUAUUUUGAUCCUAAAAUCCCAUUCCUACAGAUGUUAUUAAGCAUGUAAGAAACAUCAAUGUGUAUGAUCAAUGCAGCUUUGUGUGUGACAGCCAAAAAUCAAUGGAAAAAGAAAGGUUCAGAACUAUAAAAGCAGUGAAAUAAAUUAUGACAUAUCAAUUAAAUGGAAUAUUAGCUGGGUAUUAGACUGCAGAUUUAGGAAAAAAAUCAUGACGGGAAAUCAUUAUAAGCAAUUGUCAAGUAAAAUGAGCAGGUUAUUAGAGAGUGUGAGCUGUAUAAGUGUAAUUGUGUGUAUUCAUUUACACAGAAAAAAUAAAACCUAGAAAGAUGGAUUACUAAAAUGUACACAGUGGUUAUUUGGAGAUAGUGGGAUUCGGAUAAUUUUUAUGUUCUUUUCCAUGCUUUCAUGUAUUAUCCAAAUUAUUUCAAAUAAAUUUCACAAUAAAUAUCAAUUCACAAUAAGAAAUAAAAUCAAUAAACUACUUUAACAAAGGUUGAUCUACUACUACUUUUUAUAGACAAAGAAGACAAAUGGAGAUUUGCAGAAGAAAAUAUCAAAUGGAUUAUCCUGGUAGUCUCCAGAGAACUAACUGAGUCAUCCACAUGAUUUAGCCCCAUCUCCAUGCUUCAUGUGAUAGGAAACAGAAUUUUGAAGUUGAGGUAAUAAUGAAAGGCCCAAAUCACCUCUGCCACUUAUUGACCAUGUGAUGUUAAUUUUGCUGAGCUUUAAUUUCCUCAUUUGUAAAAUAAAGAUCAAUAGUUCAAAGCUUUAUUGUGAGAACUCAUUGAGAAGAUAAUUUUGAAAGCAAUUGAACAUGGC